YUACGUGCCAGCAGCCGCGGUAAUACGUAGGGCGCGAGCGUUGUCCGGAAUUAUUGGGCGUAAAGGGCUUGUAGGCGGUUGGUCGCGUCUGCCGUGAAAUUCUCUGGCUUAACKGGGGGCGUGCGGUGGGUACGGGCUGACUUGAGUGCGGUAGGGGAGACUGGAACUCCUGGUGUAGCGGUGGAAUGCGCAGAUAUCAGGAAGAACACCGGUGGCGAAGGCGGGUCUCUGGGCCGUUACUGACGCUGAGGAGCGAAAGCGUGGGGAGCGAACAGGAUUAGAUACCCUGGUAGUCCACGCUGUAAACGUUGGGCACUAGGUGUGGGGGCCACACGUGGUUUCUGCGCCGUAGCUAACGCUUUAAGUGCCCCGCCUGGGGAGUACGGCCGCAAGGCUAAAACUCAAAGGAAUUGACGGGGGCCCGCACAAGCGGCGGAGCAUGCGGAUUAAUUCGAUGCAACGCGAAGAACCUUACCAAGGCUUGACAUGC
rnacentral:rRNA from 1 species